GACGAACGCUGGCGGCGUGCUUAACACAUGCAAGUCGAACGGUGAAAGCGGAGCUUGCUCCGCUGGAUCAGUGGCGAACGGGUGAGUAACACGUGGGCAACCUGCCCCUCACUUCGGGAUAACUCCGGGAAACCGGGGCUAAUACCGGAUAUGACCUCCUUGGGCAUCCUUGGAGGUGGAAAGUUUUUCGGUGAGGGAUGGGCCCGCGGCCUAUCAGCUUGUUGGUGAGGUAGUGGCUCACCAAGGCGACGACGGGUAGCCGGCCUGGGAGGGCGACCGGCCACACUGGGACUGAGACACGGCCCAGACUCCUACGGGAGGCAGCAGUGGGGAAUAUUGCGCAAUGGGCGAAAGCCUGACGCAGCAACGCCGCGUGCGGGAUGACGGCCUUCGGGUUGUAAACCGCUUUCAGCAGGGAAGAAGCCGCAAGGUGACGGUACCUGCAGAAGAAGCACCGGCUAACUACGUGCCAGCAGCCGCCGAA
rnacentral:rRNA from 1 species